rnacentral:rRNA from 1 species
GGCGAGCGAAGCGGGAAGAGCUCAAAUUUAUAAUCUGGCACCUUCGGUGUCCGAGUUGUAAUCUCUAGAAGUGUUUUCCGCGUUGGACCGCACACAAGUCUGUUGGAAUACAGCGGCAUAGUGGUGAAACCCCCGUAUAUGGUGCGGACGCCCAGCGCUUUGUGAUACACUUUCAAUGAGUCGAGUUGUUUGGGAAUGCAGCUCAAAUUGGGUGGUAAAUUCCAUCUAAAGCUAAAUAUUGGCGAGAGACCGAUAGCGAACAAGUACCGUGAGGGAAAGAUGAAAAGCACUUUGGAAAGAGAGUUAACAGUACGUGAAAUUGUUGGAAGGGAAACGCUUGAAGUCAGACUUGCUUGCCGGAGCUUGCUUCGGUUUGCAGGCCAGCAUCAGUUUUCCGGGGUGGAUAAUGACGGUUUGAAGGUAGCAGUCUCGGCUGUGUUAUAGCUUUCCGUUGGAUACAUCCUGGGGGACUGAGRAACGCAGCGUGCUUUUUGCRAAAGACUCCGUUCUUUUUCMCSCUUUAGGAUGCUGGKGGAAAUGGCUUUAAACGACCCGUCUUGAAACACGGACCA